rnacentral:rRNA from 1 species
UACGUAGGGAGCAAGCGUUGUCCGGAAUCAUUGGGCGUAAAGCGCGCGUAGGUGGCCUCAUAAGUCCGCUGUGAAAGUCCAAGGCUCAACCUUGGAAAGCCGGUGGAUACUGUGAGGCUAGAGUACGGAAGAGGCGAGUGGAAUUCCUGGUGUAGCGGUGAAAUGCGCAGAUAUCAGGAGGAACACCUAUUGCGAAGGCAGCUCGCUGGGACGUUACUGACGCUGAGACGCGAAAGCGUGGGGAGCAAACAGG